rnacentral:piRNA from 1 species
UCAUUAUCUGGAGGUAUACACACAUGAGC